AAAAAAUAAACAAACUCGCUCUGCUAUUAGUAUAAAUAGAAGGUUUCGAGUGUUCAGUAGGUCACUGUAAUGGGUAUAUCGGUGUAUGUUAAUUUUACAUUCAAUAAUACACGAUUAUGAGCUAAGGAGACGGGUGGAUCAGCAUCUAUUUUAGGAUAAAUCUAUUGAUUCACAGUAUCUAAGCACCAUUGGUGAGCCACCUAUGUAUGAAAUCAAACGUCUAUUAUUUGACCUGUUAUCCCAUUCCGAAAACACCGGACACUGCAACACCGUAUGGCGGACGUACCACCGACGGAAUCAUCGGGUUACCGGACGCAAUUCCCGACGCACCGGAAGUAUGCGCAGGUAUUUGACUCGUACGAUGUUUUUACAUUUUUAAUUGCCGCCCGAAAAAUCGCACGCGACCAUAAUCGGUCACGUGGAAUGCAAUCUAUCGACCCGGUGCAUCGUGACCAAUGUGUACCUGUAAAAACUAUAAAAUCCUCCACUGGAAGGAGUCAGAUAAAUCAUGAAAAUGUAAAUAUUUUCAUCGGUUAUGCAUAGACUUUAUUUUUGAUUA